CCAAGGAUGUUCCCAAUGCUGAUAAACCGGUAACUGGAUUGUUGAACAGUAAUACUGAAAGCCAUAUGAGGAAUGCUCUUUUUGCAGUAUUUGCAACGCUAAGUACAGGAACAAUUUAAAAAACCAGAAUAUUAGAAUCUCACCUAUGCGUAACUGGACUGAUGUAGUCCAUGAGGACAUAGGCUGUUAUACUUUGGAAAUGGAAGAAGAUACCAUUGAGUAGAAAUGCCGAAAGUAAUCUGGCACUCAAGGCGUGUUGGAGGGCUGGCAAAUCUACCAGCAUUAUUGACACAGGAAUUUGAACCACCACAGAUGCCAGACUAGUGUAAAAUUGCAAUUCUGCAGGGCUGAAAUUAAUUUGAAAUAGUAAAGUGUUUUAAGUUAAUCAAGAAUUUACUGAUGCAAUGGAGAUUUAUCAAGUAACUUACGUAUAUUUGAAGUUAUCACCGCUAAUUAGCAUCUUUGAAUAAACGUUUUGUAAACAUUCCGUUAAAUUAGUAGCCAUAGCAGCAACAAAACCUCUCAAGUCGAAACUUAGUUCGUUUGCUGAGCACAGUGCUAAUCCUCCCAUCACCGGGAUGAGUGAUAAAUUUACGUACAAGCCUGUGUAUUCUCCUGUAAUUUGGUUAAUUAAAAUAUAGCGGAAAAUGAAA